UGGACUUGCAAUUAUAACAUGGAAUCUCUACACACCCCAUGAGCUCGAUCCAAUCCACGCACACGAGUUGCCUGAGUAGCGACAGGUAUACCGAUGUGCAAUACGUAUCCGGCCAUAGGCACGGAACGAACAGGAACUGUGGUGCAGACAUACAAGGGCCAUGGGGCGGUACGCAAAGGAUACGGAUGAGCGAGUAUGCAGGCCCAAUACUCAAUAGCUCGAUCCGAUCCAAGCACAUGAGUUGACUGCGGCGUCAGGUUAACCAAUGUGCAAUACGUAUCCGGCUACGGCACGGAACGAACAGGAACUGUGGUGCAGACAUACAAGGGCCAUGGGGCGGUACGCAAAGGAUACGGAUGAGCGAGUAUGCAGGCCCAAUACUCAAUAGCUCGAUCCGAUCCAAGCACAUGAGUUGACUGCGGCGCCAGGUUAACCGAUGUGCUAAGAGAGUUGUUCCUGGGCCUUCAAAGUGACUUCAAAACUAUCUUAGCGAAUGGUGGCCAUGGGCGUAGACAUGAGCCACAAGUCACAAGGCCUGGGACUAUUGGGUAAUAAAGACAACUUAGUCAGAAAGUUAGUCUUUGGAC